rfam:Hordeum vulgare subsp. vulgare, WGS project CAJW01000000 data, contig: morex_contig_2552535
CUUCUACUCCCUCCGUCCCAAAAUUCUUGUCUUAGAUUUGUCUACAUAUGAAUGCAUCUAGUCACGUUUUAGUAUUUACAUACAUCUAUUUUUAAACAAACCUAAGACAAGCAUUUUAGGAUGGAGGGAGUAUAUC